UACGGGGGGAGCAAGCGUUGUUCGGAUUUACUGGGCGUAAAGGGCGCGUAGGCGGCGCGACAAGUCACUUGUGAAAUCUCCGGGCUUAACCCGGAGCGGCCAAGUGAUACUGUAGUGCUAGAGUGCGGAAGGGGCUACUGGAAUUCUCGGUGUAGCGGUGAAAUGCGUAGAUAUCAGGAGGAACACCGGUGGCGAAGGCGGUGGUCUGGGCCGGCACUGACGCUGAGGAGCGAAAGCGUGGGUAGCAAACAGG
rnacentral:rRNA from 1 species